ensembl:snoRNA LOC120098391 small nucleolar RNA SNORA17
CCUGCCCCUAGAGGCGUUUCAAGUAUGGCUUCCAUGUCAUGUGUGCAUCAGCAGGUGGCAGGGAGGAGAGAGGCUAUGUGUACACUCAGUGUUCUCACCUGUGAAUAAGCCUGACGUCACCACCAGUCUGGAGCC